rnacentral:lncRNA from 1 species
ACAGACGCAGGCGAAAUGUCUUCACCAGCUUCUUCUCGGUUGCCAAGGGGGCCUGCUUUCAAGGGGUUGUUUUGUAUGGGGUGUGGGUGUUAACCAGGGAGAGGUUCCUGGCAGGAGUUCCUGUCAGAUGCCAUUUUCCAUUCUGGUUACUUGAACCGGGGUCCUUUUUCAUCCUCUACCUCAGGGGCCAGAGCUUCCUCAUCACCCUGCACCCCCUAGCAAGGGAGGUGCCCGCUACACGGUCCAAAGUCCUCUCCAGACAUUCGGGCCCUGCCCGCCUUGCUGGAGGGCUCAGGAGUUCACCAGGUUUGCUUCCAGAAGAGCCAGGCUGGGGAUGCCUGCUUGCAAAUGCAGCAAAUAAAAAAUAAAUAAAUAAAUAAAAAUCACCUUUCUCCCCACCCCCACCCAAAUGUAAAA